GAAAACAAACCGGAGGUGGUGGGUCUUAGAAAACAUAGGCUUGGCUCUGCCAUGCAUAGGCAUCUGGCCGCUGCCCCACGUCGUCACUAAAUGUAGUGCAGGCGACAAAUUUUACAUCUGGUGUUUGAUGCAGAUGGAUGAGGGGAAUUGGUCCCAAUACGAUUUUCAUCUGUGUGAGGGAUGGUAUGGCCUGCAGAGGCCCAAGGCAUGCUCUUGUUCCCCCCACCCCCAUAUU
rnacentral:lncRNA from 1 species